rnacentral:rRNA from 1 species
GUCUAUGGCCAUGUCACCCUGAACAAGCCCAAUCCCAUCUGAUCUCGGAAGCUAAGCAGGGUCGGGCCUGGUUAGUACUUAGAUGGGAGACCCUAUCUAAGAAGACCUGGUGCUGUAGGCA